rnacentral:lncRNA from 1 species
GGCGGCCACCUUCAACCCCGGAUUCAGUUUCCGGGCACAGAAAUGGUGCCCGGAGGCCGCUACUUUCGCAUCUGCGUUGCUUCUGCCUCCGCCGACACGGCCUCCUUCCCCUCCCCCACGGGCGGGGCGACGACCGGGAACUAGGGCCGCCGGCGAGCGGAGGAACCAGGCGGGUGGGCUUCCUACCCUGAAACCGCCUCUGCAGGAGCCCACUGCCCCGCUUCGCGGCUUGGCGCCCGUUGGCGCGCUCUGGGAGCUGGCGGCGGACAGGGUACCCCCGGGCUGCUUCAUCCUAGCAAUCCCCAGCCCCACCUGUGCCCUCCUCUGCACCACGCGCGCAGGUCAUCCUCCUCCCCACGCAGCCUUCCGCUCACCUUGCAGGAAAGGCUCGGCUCUGCACGCACGCACGCACUCUUGCUGGCGUAGGCAGCCGGCGAGAACAAUGUUUCCGCCGCACCAACCCCGACACCAAGCGCACACACCGGACGGUUGCCGCGAGCCGCGGAGCGGAGGGAAAUGUCCCCUGCCGACCACCACACCGACCGCCCCUCUCGGCCCCCGUACACACCUCCAACCAACAGCGGCGGCGGGCACGUCGCGCGGAGGUCAGUAGUGUCGCGGGAUCGGCCGCAGCAGAUUCUCCUCCCUCGAAGCAACCCGAGGCUUCGGAAUCCGGAGAGCCGCGAGCUCGGGGCCCCUCACAGCCACCUCUUCCCGAGAGCCUAGAGCUGCAACGAGCUCCAAGAACACGGACGUCCCGCCCCCUUUGCCGCCGCCCCCUCUUAUUGUUUUACCCCUGCGGAAAGGGCUAGGGAACCCCCCAGCACAGCGCCAGCCAAUCAGGCAUCAGUUUGGAGAGCUAGACCCAACCUUCUCGCGUCCCACUGCGGAGCACGCGCAGAACGGCGCCGCGCUCGCUCGCUCGCUCGCUCGGGCGUCCGGAAAGCCAGGGAACCGGAACCGGCCUAAAGUCGGGGCGAGAGCCCGCUGAUUUGACGUCACAAGGAAGCUGCCUUUCUCUUGCAGUGAUGCUGAAGCCUCCCUGUCCUCUCAGGUGGCGCGAACAAAAAAGAUGGCUCGCCGCUAACCAGUGGCUUUUACAAACGGUUAUUCCUGGAGCCUUUAUUCGUGAUAAGAGGGAGCAAAUUUAGUAAUGGUCCUGGUUGCUGCGUUAUCGGAGCAUUAAAAUGCAGUUUUGAACUCUG